rnacentral:misc_RNA from 1 species
UAUUUGAUUGCGUUUUAAGGCAACAUGAACAUUCUAUGACACAUUCAGAGUAUAUGAUACAUAAGCCCGAAGGCCUACGGUGGGUUCACAGGUGUGUUGUGGAUUUAAGAGCUCGGGCGUGCACAUGCCCCGAGAGGCCAGCGACAACCCUCGCCUACGAUUCGAUAAUGAUCCUUCCGCAGGUUCACCUACGGAAA